ensembl:snoRNA SNORA72 Small nucleolar RNA SNORA72
CUGUGAAUAUUGUACUAUUCUGAUUCUGUAUUAAAACAAGACAGGAUAUACUUUCAUCAUAUUAAGAUCUUGCAUGUAUUGUCAGAUCUAAUUUUUUUAAACUAGUUUUAUAAGUGCUAGUGAUGAUC